CCUGGAAAACAACUCAAGCUGAAGGGGACUCAGAGAACCGUCUACGGAGUCCCCUUCUAUUUUACUCCUUCUUGGACGUCCUGCCACAGCCGUACAUUCAAGAUCUUUUCAGACCAACCCCUGCAUAUCAGCCGGAUGCCCGUCAUGAAUUUCUCUGUACGGCUCUCCUCUCACGAAUCCAACUGGGCCUCUCUGGACUUUCCCCGGUCCAACGCCUCCUGUCCUUUAAUGCAGGCCUUGUUCCAAUCACGGGUACUCUCCUACCUCCACUCUGGACUGAAUGAUGCUCUCAGACGCAGGGUCCUCGGCCUCGCACACGGCUCAGUCCACGGCAACGGACACUCACCGUCGAGGGCUUCCGUUUGUCCGCCCUCUCCCACCACCACCUGGCCUGGCCAGCCCAUCCCCUCACCGCCGGGCCUACAUACGCCAACUGUGAGACCGACCACCUGGGCAGUGGCCACCUUCCCCAGAGCCCACUACUCACCCUGCCUGCGUGAGCUAACUCCUCUGUCAGCCUUCAAAGUGCACUGAGGACAACGCUCAUUUCCCACCACUUCUGUUCCUCUUCCAAUACCAGUACAAGGUCAGCUAAUACGAACCAUGUCCCUAGUGAUUAUUAGUUGAUGGGAGAUACUAUUUGGUAGGCCACAAAAACACAAAAUACUAAAGAUUCUUUACAGUUCACACAAAUGAGAGCCUACUUAGGCUCAUCAGCAAUUACGCAAUUUCCCUUUCUGCAUGAAGAUUACCUAACUCGGUAGUUUUAAUAACACCAUACACAAAUUUGAACACAGAGGGUAUAAAAAAUUACUACUAAGUAUAUUUUACACAUAUUAUAUUUAUGUUUUGAAAAAACUCAUCUCUUAGGGAUACAAACUGGGUACUUAGGGUGAAAUGAAAUGCCUGGGAGUUGCUCUAAAGUAUUCCAUCAACAACAAAAACCAGGGAAACGACUAGUAACUGUUGAAGCCAGGUGGUGGAUACCCUGAGGAUUCAUUAUUCUUCUUCUCUCACUUUGGUGGGGGUUUGACAUUUUCAAUAUUAGAAUGUCUUUAAAUAAUGGCAGAAGGAAUCUUGAGCUGUACACUUUUUUCAAUCUCACCCUUUAUUUUUUUAAGUAAACUCUAUGCCCAACGUGGGGCUCGAACUUACAACCCCAAAAUCAAGAGUCGCAUGCUCUAUGGGCUGAGCCAGCCAGGUGCCCUAAUCCUACGCUUUUAAAAACAGCAGCUUUUGGGGGGUGCCUGGGUGGCUCAGUUGGUUAAGCGUCCGAUUCCUGGUUUUGGUUCAGGUCAUUGUGUCGUGAUUUAUGAGUUUCAGUCCCUAGCUCGGCUCUGUGCUGACAGUGCAGAGCCUGCUUGGGAUUCUGUCUCCCUCUCUCUCUGCCCCUCCCCCCGCUUGCUCUCUAUUUCUGUGUCAAAAUAAAUAAAAAUAACCUUAAAAAAAAACAAACACCUUUUGUUUCGAAGGGGCACAUGCAUCCCAAUGUUUACAGCAGCAGUAUCAACGAUAGCCAAAGUAUGGAAAGAGCCCCAAUGUCCAUCGAUGGAUGAAUGGAUAAAGAAGAUGUGGUAUAUAUAUAUACAAUGGAGUAUUACUCGGCAAUCAAAAAGAACGAAAUCUUGCCAUUUGCAACUAUGUGGAUGGAACUGGAGGGUAUUAUGCUAAGUGAAAUUAGUCAGAGAAAGACAAAAAUCCUACGACUUCACUCAUAUGAGGACUUUAAGAUACAAAACAGAUGAACGAACAUAAGGGA